AUCAGACCAGAGAGCAAUCGAAAUUCAUCCAAAACAACAAUACAUUAGUCUAUUACAAUCAUUACAGUAUACUACAAGCCAGAUAUGCCUACUACUGCCUACAAUUACAACACAUAAUAUGCUACUACUUGUUGAUAUGCUUCACAGCUUCGGACUUUGAUUCGCACUUCACAUGUGCAAAGAAUAAGAAUGAAAAUAUAAGAAUAAGAAUGUGUACAGAACAUCAAACAAUAGCCAAUGAGGAAUCCAAUAACUUAUAAGCAAGAAUUGACAGUAAAUGCCAUGUAGAUAAAUAUUAUGACUAACACUAACCAGUAUAUGUUCAUGGAGUGAAAUGUUCUCACUAGCUAGGAUUUUUUUGGUAUAUAGUAUACUGGCAUGUGCAACUCUAACUAAAUUGAUCAUAGAAAUGAAAAGAACUGUAAGAACAAGUUCAUUCAGAAUCCAGGCAUGUCAAAUUUUAAGCACCAAUAGAACAGAUCUAGCAAACCAGACUAUAAUCAUCAUGCAUCAGGAUUUAUGGUUCUAGCAAAACAGUAAGGAGACAGAGAUACACGCAUCAAGCAUACCAGCUACUACAGCAGUAGCAAAUAAACAUUGAUGGAUUACCCACCGUGCAUAGACCAAUCAGCAAUAGCAGCAACAGUAGGUAGUAGAAGAAGCAGAAGAGGGAGGGCCCUGUCUUGCGAGGAACUCCCU
rnacentral:lncRNA from 1 species